rnacentral:rRNA from 1 species
AGCGAACGCUGGCGGCAGGCCUAACACAUGCAAGUCGAACGGAUCCUUCGGGAUUAGUGGCGGACGGGUGAGUAACACGUGGGAACGUGCCUUUUGGUUCGGAACAACUCAGGGAAACUUGAGCUAAUACCGAAUGUGCCCUUCGGGGGAAAGAUUUAUCGCCAUUAGAGCGGCCCGCGUCUGAUUAGCUAGUUGGUGAGGUAAAGGCUCACCAAGGCUACGAUCAGUAGCUGGUCUGAGAGGAUGAUCAGCCACAUUGGGACUGAGACACGGCCCAAACUCCUACGGGAGGCAGCAGUGGGGAAUCUUGCGCAAUGGGCGAAAGCCUGACGCAGCCAUGCCGCGUGAAUGAUGAAGGUCUUAGGAUUGUAAAAUUCUUUCACCGGGGACGAUAAUGACGGUACCCGGAGAAGAAGCCCCGGCUAACUUCGUG